UGCCUACGGGAGGCAGCAGUGAGGAAUAUUGGUCAAUGGGAGAGAUCCUGAACCAGCCAAGCCGCGUGAGGGAAGACGGCCCUAUGGGUUGUAAACCUCUUUUGUCGGAGAACAAAACCCGGGACGUGUCCCGGACUGCGUGUAUCCGAAGAAAAAGCAUCGGCUAACUCCGUGCCAGCAGCCGCGGUAAUACGUAGGGGGCGAGCGUUAUCCGGAAUUACUGGGUGUAAAGGGAGCGUAGACGGCGAGGUAAGCCUGAAGUGGAAGCCCGCGGCCCAACCGCGGAACUG
rnacentral:rRNA from 1 species